rnacentral:rRNA from 1 species
GACGAACGCUGGCGGCGUGCCUAAUACAUGCAAGUUGAGCGCUGACGGUUGGUACUUGUGCCGAUAGGAUGAGCAGCUGACGGGUGAGUAACGCGUGGGGAAUCUGCCUUUGAGCGGGGGACAACAUUGGGAAACGACUGCUAAUACCGCAUAAAAACUUUAAACACAAGAUUUAAGUUUGAUAGAUGCCAUUGCAUCACUCAUAGAUGAUCCCGCGUUGUAUUAGCUAGCUGGUGAGGUAAAGGCUCACCAAGGCGAAGAUACAUAGCCGACCUGAGAGGGUGGUCGGCCAAAUUGGGACUGGGACACGGCCCAAGCUCCCUCGGGAGGCAGCAGGAGGGGAUCUUCGGCAAUGGACGAAAGUCUGACCGAGCAACGCCGCGGGAGUGAAGAAGGGUUUCGGAUUGUAAAACUCUGUUGGUAGGGAAGAACGAUGGUGAGAGUGGAAAGCUCAUCAAGUGACGGUAACUACCCAGAAAGGGACGGCUAACUACGUG